rnacentral:rRNA from 1 species
CGCUGGCGGCGUGCUUAACACAUGCAAGUCGAACGGUAAGGCCCUUCGGGGUACACGAGUGGCGAACGGGUGAGUAACACGUGGGUGAUCUGCCCUGCACUUCGGGAUAAGCUUGGGAAACUGGGUCUAAUACCGGAUAGGACCACGGUCUGCAUGGAUUGUGGUGGAAAGCUUUUGCGGUGUGGGAUGGGCCCGCGGCCUAUCAGCUUGUUGGUGGGGUGAUGGCCUACCAAGGCGACGACGGGUAGCCGGCCUGAGAGGGUGUCCGGCCACACUGGGACUGAGAUACGGCCCAGACUCCUACGGGAGGCAGCAGUGGGGAAUAUUGCACAAUGGGCGCAAGCCUGAUGCAGCGACGCCGCGUGGGGGAUGACGGCCUUCGGGUUGUAAACCUCUUUCAGCAGGGACGAAGGGUGACUGACGGUACCUGUAGAAGAAGCACCGGCCAACUACGUG